AACCUAGCACACCUGCGGUGUGUACCUGCGGAAGGAUCAUUACAUGGCGGAGGAGGUGGGCACCUAGUAACCCUGGGUGUGUUGCCUUCACGCUUUCUACCCUUGUCUAUUUGCACCUUUUGUCGUUCCCUCGGUGGGUCUUGAACCUGCCGACGGCAACUUUCAAAACCUUUUGCAGUAGUAUCUAAUUCUUCUGAUUCAAAUAUCAAAUCGUUACAACUUUCAACAACGGAUCUCAGA
rnacentral:misc_RNA from 1 species